GACGAACGCUGGCGGCGUGCUUAACACAUGCAAGUCGAACGGAAAGGCCCUUCGUGGUACGCGAGCGAGGAACGGGUGAGUAACACGUGCGUAACCUGCCCCAGCCUUUGGCUUAACCCUCGGUAACGGGGGCUAAUACCGAAUACGAAUCAGUUUUGCACGUGGUCUGUGGGGGAAGUUUUUCGGUUUGGGAUGGGCUCGCGGCCGAUCAGCUUGUUGGUGGGGUGAUGGCCUACCAAGGCGACGACGGGUAGCCGGCCUGGGUGGGCGACCGGCCACACUGGGACUGAGACACGGCCCAGACUCCUACGGGAGGCAGCAGUGGGGAAUAUUGCACAAUGGGCGGAAGCCUGAUGCAGCGACGCCGCGUGAGGGAUGACGGCCUUCGGGUUGUAAACCUCUUUCAGCAGGGACGAAGCGUAAGUGACGGUACCUGCAGAAGAAGCGCCGGCUAACUACGUG
rnacentral:rRNA from 1 species